rnacentral:rRNA from 1 species
GACGAACGCUGGCGGCGUGCCUAAUACAUGCAAGUUGAGCGAUGAAGAUUGGUGCUUGCACCAAUUUGAAGAGCAGCGAACGGGUGAGUAACGCGUGGGGAAUCUGCCUUUGAGCGGGGGACAACAUUUGGAAACGAAUGCUAAUACCGCAUAACAACUUUAAACAUAAGUUUUAAGUUUGAAAGAUGCAAUUGCAUCACUCAAAGAUGAUCCCGCGUUGUAUUAGCUAGUUGGUGAGGUAAAGGCUCACCAAGGCGAUGAUACAUAGCCGACCUGAGAGGGUGAUCGGCCACAUUGGGACUGAGACACGGCCCAAACUCCUACGGGAGGCAGCAGUAGGGAAUCUUCGGCAAUGGACGAAAGUCUGACCGAGCAACGCCGCGUGAGUGAAGAAGGUUUUCGGAUCGUAAAACUCUGUUGGUAGAGAAGAACGUUGGUGAGAGUGGAAAGCUCAUCAAGUGACGGUAACUACCCGGAAAGGGACGGCUAACUACGUG